CAGCCUGCCCGGCCUGUUUUUAUACCUCGGAGGUGGAGCCCUCGGCUGCCAGAGGGGGGCCAGGCUGCAGUUAGAUCAAUGGCACAUUGAAACAUUAUGCUGGUACCAUAGAACAAAUAUACCAACUGUGUCCCAAAGCCCUUCACUGCUGGAGAGCUCAGCCAUCAAAGGCCCGACGCUGUGUCUCAGAGCAGUGCACACUUCGGAUCAAUCCCCUCAUGGAAGUUAUGUGCUGUCCAGUGAUGAAUGGGGCAUGUUAACCUUCUGCUCUUCACACUCGGUCCACACCUGGCUGGGACCUCAGCCCCUGCACCACUGCGCAGUAGCUCCUGAGCUCAGCGGACCCACAACCCUGUUCUGGAAUUGGAAACCACGCUGUGGGGAGGGAAUGUCAUGGAAAGUCUCAGCUGGAAGGUGUUUUACUGAGGAGAGGAGGUUGAUAGUUGUGGUUUAUUCUUAAGUGGAUAUUCAGCCUCAUGACAAACCCAUUGCACAAUAAAGCGUUCCCAUCUA